rnacentral:rRNA from 1 species
AUAGCGUAUAUUAAAGUUGCUGCGGUUAAAAAGCUCGUAGUUGGAUCUGGGUCGUCGAUGGACGGUGCGCCGUAAGGCGCUACUGUUUGUUCGGCACCACAGCCCGGCCAUGUCUUGCAUGCUCUUCACUGAGUGUGCUUGGCGACCGGAACGUUUACUUUGAAAAAAUUAGAGUGCUCAAAGCAGGCGUUAAGCCUAUAUAAUGGUGCAUGGAAUGAUAGAAUAAGACUUUUGCCUUGUUCUGUUGGCCUUAGAGGCAGAAGUAAUGAUAAAUAGGAACAGACGGGGGCAUUCGUAUUGCGGCGUUAGAGGUGAAAUUCUUGGAUCGUCGCAAGACGCACUACUG